rnacentral:lncRNA from 1 species
GGAAGCAGACUAAAAAUAAUGGAUAGUUCUUGCUUCCGUGGAACUUACAUCCUACCGGAGGCGGGGGUAGAAAACAAACAGGCAAAUAGAUACCAGGCCUUGUCGUGUCCCUAAGAGUGAAACAGCAGGGCCGGGGGAUAGAGCGUGCCGUGCAGCAGCGGAGGUCUUGUUCUAAUAUCGUGGUCCAGAGGGUUUCUCUCAGAUGAGGCAGCAUUUCAGCAGAGACCUGAGUGAAGUAAAUGAAUGGGUCUUGUAGGAUGAUAAUGAGAAUGCUUGCGCAGACCCUUUCUUCUUGGAGGUCUGCAGGAGAUGCUGGGAAGGAAGCGUUCUCUCAUUCCUUUUAUUCCAGAGGGAUUGAAUGUAGGGAAUUUGGACACGGCUUAGCAGGCUGGAGGAUCUGAGACGUCAUUGCUGCUUUCAGCCUCUCAAGCAUCAGUAGAGCUGUCUUGUCUGGGACAAGACUUAGAGCUGAAGCUGACUUAAAUGCCCUGGUCCCAUCUCAGCCAUCACAGAGAAUAGGGUCAGUGUAGGCACUGAAUAAAUUUUUUUAUUGAAUGACUCUUAUAUACAAUCUCUUCCAUUUUCUAUCCAGCUGUUUAGCCAAGAACUUGCAGGUGUAUAGGCAUUUAUGUUAAGUAAGUUUCUCUCCUUGUUAAAUACAUGUUUUUAUUUUGUUUAUCUUGUCUUCUCUGGUGUAUUGACCUUUGGAUUGUCCCUGACUGAGCUUUGAAUGUCCCGUCGCACGACUCCCAAAUUCCCCAGCAAGAAAACCAUCCUCUAUGAUUCUUCGAGAAAGAGACUAGGUAUCUUCAGAAGCAAUCCUUGUCCCAGAGAAGAAGGCAGAACCAAUGGGAGCAAAACUGAGAAGGAAAGGACGGGAAGCCCAAGUCUGGGCACAAAGAACGCCGGACUGGGGAAGAUUAACUGAAGCCUCCCUGGGCCGCUGAGAUCCUGUGAGUUAUGAUGUCAGUGAGCAGCUUGAGACUCCUGGGUUCUAACGAAUGGAGAUGGGAGCAAG